rnacentral:rRNA from 1 species
GAACGAACGCUGGCGGCAGGCCUAACACAUGCAAGUCGAGCGCCCUUUCGGGGGAGCGGCGGACGGGUGAGUAACGCGUGGGAAUAUGCCCUUCUCUACGGAAUAGCCUCGGGAAACUGAGAGUAAUACCGUAUACGCCCUAUGGGGGAAAGAUUUAUCGGGGAAGGAUUAGCCCGCGUUGGAUUAGGUAGUUGGUGGGGUAAUGGCCUACCAAGCCGACGAUCCAUAGCUGGUUUGAGAGGAUGAUCAGCCACACUGGGACUGAGACACGGCCCAGACUCCUACGGGAGGCAGCAGUGGGGAAUCUUAGACAAUGGGGGCAACCCUGAUCUAGCCAUGCCGCGUGAGUGAUGAAGGCCUUAGGGUUGUAAAGCUCUUUCAGCUGGGAAGAUAAUGACGGUACCAGCAGAAGAAGCCCCGGCUAACUCCGUG